CCUGAUGCAGCGACGCCGCGUGAGGGAUGAAGGCCUUCGGGUUGUAAACCUCUUUCAGCAGGGACGAAGCGCAAGUGACGGUACCUGCAGAAGAAGCACCGGCUAACUACGUGCCAGCAGCCGCGGUAAUACGUAGGGUGCGAGCGUUGUCCGGAAUUACUGGGCGUAAAGAGUUCGUAGGCGGUUUGUCGCGUCGUCUGUGAAAACCCAUCGCUCAACGAUGGGCCGGCAGGCGAUACGGGCAGACUUGAGUACUGCAGGGGAGACUGGAAUUCCUGGUGUAGCGGUGAAAUGCGCAGAUAUCAGGAGGAACACCGGUGGCGAAGGCGGGUCUCUGGGCAGUAACUGACGCUGAGGAACGAAAGCGUGGGUAGCAAACAGGAUUAGAUACCCUGGUAGUCCACGCCGUAAACGGUGGGCGCUAGGUGUGGGUUCCUUCCACGGGAUCUGUGCCGUAGCUAACGCAUUAAGCGCCCCGCCUGGGGAGUACGGCCGCAAGGCUAAAACUCAAAGGAAUUGACGGGGGCCCGCACAAGCGGCGGAGCAUGUGGAUUAAUUCGAUGCAACGCGAAGAACCUUACCUGGGUUUGACAUAUACUGGAAAGCUGCAGAGAUGUAGCCCCCCUUGUGGCCGGU
rnacentral:rRNA from 1 species